AGAUUGCGAGGUAAAUGGUUUACACUUUGAUUGCAGAUCUUAAGUAUGAGGUUCGAUUCCUCCGUAAUCUU
rnacentral:tRNA from 1 species